rnacentral:SRP_RNA from 1 species
GGUCAGGUUCUAUGCGACGGCGUGCCCGUGAACCCCGCGAGAUCCGGAAGGAAGCACCGGUAGCGAGGCUAGUCGUGUGCCGUAGGUUGCCUGGCCUCC